rnacentral:rRNA from 1 species
GCUCCAAUAGCGUAUAUUAAAGUUGUUGCAGUUAAAAAGCUCGUAGUUGGAUUUGUGGCAUCUUUUUAUUCUCUGGUCCACCUCGCGGUGAGCACUGGGGGAGAGAGCCAUUUUUUUCCUGGGGGUGGCGUGUGCACUUUGUUGUGUGUGCGUUAUUUACAGCUCUGGGAUCUUUACUUUGAAAAAAUUAGAGUGUUCAA